UCUCUGAUUAAAUAGAUACUUAUGUACCUACAAAUAAUUUUUGAAAAAAAUAAAGAGCAGUCCAUCAAGUACGUGUAGUUUAAAUUUGACCCGCUUUGAGCUAAAUGAGAGGAAAUUUGUCUUUUUGUCGAAAGGUGGAUGAAAAGAUUUUGACAACCAAUCGUUUGCCAAUUGGACAUAAAAUAUAGUCUAAUGAUUUCUGAAAAUGGUGUGGUGCCAUUUUGCAACAAAUAUUUGGUAAAUCCUUUAAUAAACAAUCUUUAACACUCGAAAAAUAGGAAAUUCUUGUAAAAAUAUUCAUCUUUAAUCAAUUACGACCAAUGUAGAUGGUCACAAGGUCUUCAAAUUGUUUGUUGCGUUCUAAUUGGUUCUUGGGUAUGUCGCGCGGAUCGUGUAUCAACCACCGUCCGAUCGUCCUGGAUCCAACGGCAGUCUUCGCCCCUCACUAUCGCACCCACUUAACCCUAACACAGCCCUUCCAUCUCCCUCCCUCAGAUCUCCUACGCACCCACAGCCGCCGCCCCAAACCAACUCCCUCCCUCAGAUCUCGAUCCGCCGCGGCGGCCGCCGCCGCGCCCCCAACCCAAACCCCACCGCCACCAUCGACGACCUCCUCCCUCCUGCUCCCCUUCCAACCUCCAACUAACCUCUGGAUCGUAGCUUCUGCUUUUCGCUCGCGGCGAUGGUGGUGGAUCUGACCCCGAGGUAGCCGGCCAAGGCCUACGGCGGCGAGGGCGGCGCCUACUACGAGUGGAGCCCUGCGGAGCUGCCCAUGCUCAGCGUCGCCUCCAUCGGCGCCGCCAAGCUCUCCCUCAUGGCAGACGCGGCUGGGCAUCACGCUGGACUGCACCCGCGCGCUGGAGUUCCUCCACGAGCACACCUCCCCCGCCGUCAUCCACCGCGACUUCAACUGCAGCAUCGUCCUCAUCGUCCACAUCGACUUCCGUAGCAGAUCCAUCCCAGCUGCGUCUGUUCUCCUUCUUUCUCGCCCCGUUGCCGCCGGUCGUGCGCUCUCGGGCCUCGUAGGGCUAGCGUUUGUGACUGCUUGCUAUUGUGGUUCCACGUCGCCUUGCGUUUGCGGUUGUGGAUGCUUGGAUCGAGCGGAGCGGCGGGUGUGCCUGCUCGCUUCGUCUCCUCUAUUGGGCCAAUGGGUCCAUUCCGGCAGCCAUUGUGGCCAGUGCAGCCGCGCGCGCCUCUUUUGGGUGAUUUCGCUAGCGGAAUGGCUGAAUGAAUCUAGCCGGGGAACUAAAAUGCGCGGGGGUUUGAGGUAUAUGCUAUUGUUAGGCAUUUGUUUCACAUGGAUGCUAGCGCCAUGAAGCCUGCACCAUACGGCUUGUAUUGUUGCAUCCUCAUGAUUUAUGUGGAUGAUAUGCAAAUUUCAGGGUUGCCAGUUGACCAUUUCUACUAUAGUUAUAUAUAUUUCACAGUGACUGGAAUCUAUUGUUCAUUUAUGUGGCCUUGAUUUGCACAAUAUUAUUCGUUUUCUCCUGCACCUGCACCUAGUUGUUUGACUUGUCCAGCCUCGUAAGCAUUUACGUCAACCCUUCACCAACCCCUUACACCUGAACUAAGUAUAUUAUAAUCUAGAGCCUCUCUAUUUAAAUACUUACCACGCCUUCCAUGAAUCAUGAUAUGCUGCCCCUUAUUUGCAAUCUUAAAAAUAAUACUUCUGCACCUGGCCAUUUGAUUCAUGCUUAUAAGUUGUUUUAUAGCAAGCACUUUCUGCAAACUUUUUGUAGAGCUACGUUUACUAAAUUCAGAUUGCUAGGAUCUUGGUUUGCUGAUAUUUUGCUUUCCAUGUGAAUGGUUUUCUAGAGUGUGCUGAUUGAACCAACCAGUGGCAACACAGGCAUUGGGCUGGCCUUCAUGGCUGCUGCCAAGGGUUACAAACUUGUACUCACAAUGCCCGCCUCUAUGAGUAUGGAGAGGAGAAUCAUCUUGAAGGAUUUUGGUGCUGAGCUGAUCCUCACCGACGCACUCUUGGGAAUGAAAGGAGCUGUCCAAAAGGCCGAAGAGCUGGCAGCAAAGACACCCAACUCAUACAUCCUUCAGCAGUUCAAGAAUGCUGUCAACCCAAAGGUGUAGCAUAAUUUAGGCUUGUAGUGUUUUCUGUACACAGAUUCCGUAAGCAGAGUCUUAUAUAUUAACGGUUUCUGCCAAGGAAACAACCAAGUCACUAGCCUUGCUUAUUAAUUUAUGAUUUCUGAAAAAGUUUGCUAGUCUCACUUAUUUAAUGGUUGCUAAAAUAUCAUCAGUCUUGUACUGUCUUUUAGCACGCGUUGUUGAUUGGCUGAUUAACAUUGAUACUCCCAGUCUGGCUGAACCUGGCAGCUCGAGAGCUGGGAACUGAACCUGAACUAGUACUUAGUAGUUUUGUAAUUAGAGCUGGGAAUAUUUGACCUCCCAGUGUAGCACAGUACAUUUGACCGUCCGACUGAGGCGUGUCAUGGAUCAUCAUGGGGACUGGCAGCUCGAGAGAGGACGAUGAUAAGGUUCCUGUGAUCCGCUGAUUUGUUCAUACAGUUUGAGCUAGUGACUUGGCCAGCAACCAACCAGCAUGCUGGUUACUCAUGUUUUCCUUAUUUUUGCAAGAGCUUGCUUUGAAGAAUGUCUAGUAUUCAGUUUGUACCUCAUCUAGUAUAUGUGCUGCUCAACAUUCAACCUGCUUUAAUCCUCUUAUGUGAUUCUGCUAACUUUGCAGAGGAAGCAGCCAAAACUAGUGUUGCAUCCUAGUACUAGCUUAAACCCUGAGAUGCUUUGUUUGUUUUCCAGAUAGAUAGAUUGCCUGUUCAUCUGGGCUUCUGAUGUGCUGUGCUUAUGUGUUAUGCUUGCAGCUGCCGACCUCUUCCUGUGGUCCGAGCCGGUGACCGGAGCUGGCGAACGCGGCGAUACUGCCAAAGGAGGAGGUGCAGGAGCUGGGCAAUGACGACUGGCUCAUGGGACAACGGCGAUACUAUCCAGCGCCAACGCCGUCACCAUCGUCGAACGCGUGUUCCGGCCGGCCAGGAGGUAGCCGGCACCCUGGGUUCGUGGUGGACAGAGACGGGAGCGUCAUUGAUGAGGUACUGGCGGUGCCUAUGCUGUCUACAAGAUCCUACACCCGAGAGGAUGUGGUGGAGCUCCAGUGUAGAGCUACUCAUUUGAUUCAUUUGAAAAGAUGAGUAAUUCUUUUUCACUAACAGAAACUUCUCUCUUUUCUUCCAUUUUCCUCUCUUCUCUUCUCUUUGUUGCUAUUAAGUUAGGGCUUGCUGCUGAUUAUUGCUAUUAUUAGAAACCAUGAUUGCUCAUUGUAACGCCCCGAGACCGACGCUUCAGAUGACUUCCUUUUUUCGUGAUCA